AGCAGCCGCGGUAAUUCCAGCUCCAAUAGCGUAUAUUAAAGUUGUUGCAGUUAAAAAGCUCGUAGUUGAAUUUCGGGGUCAGUAGGUUGGUCGUGCCACCGGUACGUACUGGUCUCACAGAUUCCUCCUUCCUGAAGAACCGUAAUGCCAUUAAUUUGGUGUUGCGGGGAAACAGGACUGUUACUUUGAAAAAAUUAGAGUGUUUAAAGCAAGCUAACGCUUGAAUACAUUAGCAUGGAAUAAUAAAAUAGGACGAUCGAUCCUAUUUUGUUGGUUUCUAGGAUUGACGUAAUGAUUAAUAGGGAUAGUUGGGGGCAUUAGUAUUCAAUUGUCAGAGGUGAAAUUCUUGGAUUUAUUGUAGACUAACUACUGCGAAAGCAUUUGCCAAGGAUGUUUUCAUUAAUCAAGAACGAAAGUUAGGGGAUCGAAGACGAUCAGAUACCGUCGUAGUCUUAACCAUAAACUAUGCCGACUAGGGAUCGGAUGAUGUUAAUUUUAUAAUGACUCA
rnacentral:rRNA from 1 species